rnacentral:rRNA from 1 species
AGUGGCGCACGGGUGAGUAACACGUAGGUAAUCUACCCCCAAAUUAGGAAUAACCCCCCGAAAGGAGGGCUAAUACUGGAUAAUAUCCUGUCUGCGCAAGCAGAUGGGAUUAAAGGUGGCCUCUGCAUGCAAGCUACUGUUUGGGGAUGAGCCUGCGGACCAUUAGCUAGUUGGUAGGGUAAUGGCCUACCAAGGCAACGAUGGUUAGCUGGUCUGAGAGGACGACCAGCCACACUGGAACUGGAACACGGUCCAGACUCCUACGGGAGGCAGCAGUGAGGAAUAUUGCGCAAUGGGGGAAACCCUGACGCAGCGACGUCGCGUGGGUGAAGAAGGCCUUCGGGUCGUAAAGCCCUGUCGAGCGGGAAGAAAUCCCUAUCAACUAAUAAUUGGGAGGGUUGACGGUACCGCUGAAGGAAGCACCGGCUAACUCCGUGCCAGCAGCCGCGGUAAGAC